rnacentral:lncRNA from 1 species
AACAGCAGCUAUGAACAUGUCAUGAUGAGAAGGUAGAUAUUCUUGUGACAGUUCAUAAAUGAUCACAUUUAGUUUCCUUAUUCUUAACAAGCACUUAUACUUUCGCUUUGGUAUCUCCAAACCGUAGAUUUAAGACUCAUCUACCUGAAGAAAGCAAUCAUACAUCAAUCUUUUGGAUUGAUCACCGUCUCCAUGAUGAUCCU